rnacentral:rRNA from 1 species
AACGAACGCUGGCGGCGCGUUUUAAGCAUGCAAGUCGAACGGGAUCUGAGGUGCUUGCACCUUGGUGAGAGUGGCGAACGGGUGAGUAACGCGUAGGUGAUCUACCUUUUAGUUGGGGAUAGCCCAUGGAAACAUGGGGUAAUACCGAAUGAUCUCUGCGAUUAUGUUUGUAGAGGAAAGGGGCGUUUGCCUCGCUGAAAGAUGAGCCUGCGUAUGAUUAGCUAGUUGGUAGGGUAAUGGCUUACCAAGGCGACGAUCAUUAGCCGGCCUGAGAGGGUGACCGGCCACAUUGGGACUGAGACACGGCCCAG